CCUACGGGGGACAGCAGUGAGGAAUAUUGGUCAAUGGACGAGAGUCUGAACCAGCCAAGUAGCGUGAAGGAUGACUGCCCUAUGGGUUGUAAACUUCUUUUAUAAAGGAAUAAAACGAGGCACGUGUGCCUUUUUGCAUGUACUUUAUGAAUAAGGAUCGGCUAACUCCGUGCCAGCAGCCGCGGUAAUACGGAGGAUCCGAGCGUUAUCCGGAUUUAUUGGGUUUAAAGGGAGCGUAGAUGGUUUGUUAAGUCAGUUGUGAAAGGUUGCGGCUCAACCGUAAAAUUGCAAUUGAAACUGGCAGUCUUGAGUACAGUUGAGGUAGGCGGAAUUCGUGGUGUAGCGGUGAAAUGCUUAGAUAUCACGAAGAACCCCGAUUGCGAAGGCAGCUUACUAAACUGUGACUGACAUUGAUGCUCGAAAGUGUGGGUAUCAAACAGGAUUAGAUACCCGGGUAGUC
rnacentral:rRNA from 1 species